GAUGAACGCUGGCGGCGUGCUUAACACAUGCAAGUCGAACGGUGAAGGCGGAGCUUGCUCUGCUGGAUCAGUGGCGAACGGGUGAGUAACACGUGAGCAAUCUGCCCCUGACUCUGGGAUAAGCGCUGGAAACGGCGUCUAAUACUGGAUACGAGCUGCGAAGGCAUCUUCAGCAGCUGGAAAGAACUUCGGUCAGGGAUGAGCUCGCGGCCUAUCAGCUUGUUGGUGAGGUAACGGCUCACCAAGGCGUCGACGGGUAGCCGGCCUGAGAGGGUGACCGGCCACACUGGGACUGAGACACGGCCCAGACUCCUACGGGAGGCAGCAGUGGGGAAUAUUGCACAAUGGGCGAAAGCCUGAUGCAGCAACGCCGCGUGGGGGACGACGGCCUUCGGGUUGUAAACCUCUUUUAGCGGGGAAGAAGCGAAAGUGACGGUACCUGCAGAAAAAGCGCCGGCUAACUACGUG
rnacentral:rRNA from 1 species